AUUAGUUGAUGUGUCAUUGAUGAAUAAUAGUAACACCAUUUCUAAAGAUAAAGUUCUGUAAUACAAUUUUACAAAUGUACUGUUUAAAUAAGUCUGAACACCAAAAACUCCACUGAUGCAGCUGAAGAGCCUAAUGAAGCAAUCCAGUCUUCUUCUAUAUUCAAUCAAACUUUGAUCAAGGACACUGAUACUGCCGCAAGUAUAUGGCUUUCAAAAGCGAGUGAAAGACUCAAGAUGACCACAACAAAUAAUAUUAAUAACUGAUUUUUGGCAAAGAUUUUGUUUUAAGUGCUCAGCGGCCAGCCAUUAAAUUUUAACAUUAUAAAUAUUGUAAAUAUUUUUUUUUAUAUCUGUACACCUAUAUUUAAGGUUUACAUUAUAAGAAUAUAUAUAUUUUUUUUUUAUCUAAAUCAAGUUUUCACUUUUAAAUGACAUAUUUAGAUGUAAAGUAUUAGAUCAGGCCCUGCUUUAUAGAUACCUACAAUAAAAGUCAAGUUAAUGAGCAAAAAAAAAA